UACGGGGGGGGCAAGCGUUGUUCGGAAUUACUGGGCGUAAAGGGUUCGUAGGUGGCCCGCUAAGUCACACGUGAAAUCCCCCGGCUUAACCUGGGAACUGCGUCUGAUACUGGGAGGCUUGAGUAUGGGAGAGGGAUGUAGAAUUCCAGGUGUAGCGGUGAAAUGCGUAGAUAUCUGGAGGAAUACCGGUGGCGAAGGCGGCAUCCUGGACCGAGAUUGACGCUGAGGAGCGAAAGCUAGGGGAGCAAACGGG
rnacentral:rRNA from 1 species